AAAGCUGGGCAGAUGCCACCAGCCAGCAAGAGGCUGAACUGGUUGCAAGAUUUAGGGAUUCUACUUUGCCUCUCGCAUGCUGCUUGUUGCUUGCAACGCACUAGAAGUCCAUAUAGAUGACUGCCAGUAGGGAUGAGAGAUCCUCCUGACCACUGUCCCCACUACAGACAAAUGUGACAGUGGGUUUGAGCUCCUCCUGAGCCUUGCAAUUGUGCAGUGCCAGACUAGAUGCUUGCUGGGAGAUCUGAGGGAUGUGAAUCCUGCAGUGGGCAGCAUGGAAUCCCAUGGUAACAGGUCCCCAGCCAGGGAAAGCCAUUUCUCAUUUAAGAAUCAUCCAGGACAGAACAAGCAGAGCUUUGAGAUAUACAGAAACGUUGUGCAAAUACAAUAUUCA
ensembl:lncRNA